GAUGAACGCUGGCGGCGUGCCUAAUACAUGCAAGUCGAGCGAACAGACGAGGAGCUUGCUCCUCUGACGUUAGCGGCGGACGGGUGAGUAACACGUGGAUAACCUACCUAUAAGACUGGGAUAACUUCGGGAAACCGGAGCUAAUACCGGAUAAUAUAUUGAACCGCAUGGUUCAAUAGUGAAAGACGGUUUUGCUGUCACUUAUAGAUGGCUCCGCGCCGCAUUAGCUAGUUGGUAAGGUAACGGCUUACCAAGGCAACGAUGCGUAGCCGACCUGAGAGGGUGGGGGACAACAGGAGUCAUGCGACCGGUCCCGGCCCCAGGCGGGAGCGAACAGGGGGGUAUCUUCCGGAAGGGGCGAACACCGGAGGGAGCAGCGCGGAGUGGGAGAGAAAGGUGUUCGUAGCUAAAACCUUUUUUAUGGGGGAAAAAAAAAGGUUAAAGUCACUGUGCACGUCUGGAGGGGCCUUAAUAAAAAACCCAGGCCAAACUCCGUC
rnacentral:rRNA from 1 species